rnacentral:rRNA from 1 species
UACGAAGGGGGCUAGCGUUGCUCGGAAUUACUGGGCGUAAAGCGCACGUAGGCGGAUUGUUAAGUCGGGGGUGAAAUCCUGGAGCUCAACUCCAGAACUGCCUUCGAUACUGGCGAUCUCGAGUUCGGGAGAGGUGAGUGGAACUGCGAGUGUAGAGGUGAAAUUCGUAGAUAUUCGCAAGAACACCAGUGGCGAAGGCGGCUCACUGGCCCGAUACUGACGCUGAGGUGCGAAAGCGUGGGGAGCAAAAGGG